GACAGGGUGGCCUAGAGGAAAAUAUGUGAGCCUAGGACUCAAAGGACCUGGGUUUUAAUCCCAGCCCUGCCA
rnacentral:tRNA from 1 species